AGGUCAUUUCAAAGAGGGCAGGUGGGGAUGUGAAAACAAAAGCUCUCACCUCUGUAACUGAAGACUGAAAUUCUCUACAGGAGGCCACGGUCACUCAUGUGCUAUGUUGUGUGCUGUGUUUUCUUGAGGAGAGAGAAAA
ensembl:snoRNA